rnacentral:tRNA from 1 species
GCGGCCGUGAUGUAACAGGCAGCCAUGCUGGUUUUAGGUACCAGUGGGGGUAAUUCCCCGUGAGGGUUCGAGUCCCUCCGGCCGCA